CGCCUCGCCCUCGCUAACGAAACCGCUCGCGCCACCUCCCUCCUCGCCUCCCCGGCCUCCCCCACUUCCCACGCGCUGUUUCAGCUCGCCUCUCUCCUCUCGCAUCGCCCCCUCUCUCUUUCCCUUCGCAUCCGCACGCCGUCGCCCCGGUCCCUCCGCCCGCGUUCCCACCCCCACCACGUGCAUCUGUCGCGCCCGCCCUCACCUCCGCCGCUCUCUCCCGCGAGCGCGCGGCCUCGCCCCGCUCCGGCGACCCCGCCGUGCCUCCGCGCCGGCUCCUCAGCACCCCCACCGCGCGCCGCCGUUGCACCCACCCUCACCGAUGCCGGCCUCUCCGCGAGUGAGAAGGCAAGCCCGCGCGCUGCCGCAGGCGCAGGGGCUGCGGUUGUGGGUGCCGUCCGCGCUCAUCGUCGCCUCCGCUCUCCUCUCCCCACCGCGUGCUGCCGUCGCCGUCGCCGUCGCCUCCGCUCUCCUCCCCACCGCGCGCUGCCGUCGCCGUCGCCUCCGCUCUCCUCUCCCCACCGCGCGCUGCCGACGCCGUCCACUCCGCCCGAAGAACCCGGUCCGCGCCCCGUCCCCGUGCCGCGCACCACGGCCCCCCCGAGAUCCGACCCCUCUCCGCACACCCCGAGCACCUUCCUCCUACGCGCAGAUCCCCAUCUCCCCUCCCCCCGCAAACCGUACGCCGGUUCUUCACCCUGCAAGUGCACGCGGCUCGCACACGCAGGCGCAAAACUGCCCCCACUCUGGCCUCCCAUGCGUGCCUGCGAGCACCGCCCCCGCUAAACAGCUGCCUCCGACCUCCCAGGCAGGCUGUGGCGCCGCCUCUGCCUGCUCGCCACCCCACCGCUCCACCGAGGCAGGCCGCCCGCAUCAUCGGCAGGCCGUGGGCGCCGUCCCGCUACGUGGCCGCUGUCGUCCCUCGCUUGCUCGCCGGAUUCGCGCUGGGCCAUCCUCGGCUGCUUCGCCGAGGACACGCUGGGCAGCCGUCUCCCCUGCUUGCUCGCCAGCUUCGCGCGGGACAACGGUCAGCCAUUCCGCCAAGGAGACGCUGGGCUGCAGCGCGGCCGUCACGCUAAGUUCCAGGCGUGCUGCUCCAUUCAAGAGGGCUCACGCCCAUUAGCUAUUCGACGGAUGGCUUCAAUCGCGUUCAUGAGCUCCUGGUUAGAUGCAGUUGUCAGUUCCUUGCUAUGAAAUGCACCUGCCAAGUACACUGCUCACCAGAUGUUUGAUUUCAUGCCUCACUUCCAUUGUCUUGAGGGAAGAUCAGUCCUGGGAACAUCAAUUCAGCAAGAGGUGCUGCGAUAGAGAACUCAGAGCAAAUCAAAUUUUCUGAAUAAACUAAAGCAGAAUUGUACUGUAUAUGGUCAUUCAAAUAGCAACCAUUUAGCUGCACGCGGCUUGCAGAGGACGGGAGUUAUCUAGAAAUAGAACGAGCUCGUUGGACGGCUUGCAGAGUAUGGGCACACCACCAACACAAGCAAGGAUGUCCUGCCGUCGUCCACCUGUUCCAUGGCUGCUGCCAUUCACGCCAAGUUUCACAGGUUUGCCGCAAUCCACCUGUCCAUGGGCGAGGGAAACAAUCUAAGAUCCAGUGAGGUUGCUAUUGACCUGAGGCAUCGGUAUGGGCACAAUUUGCAUAUCUAUUAUGAUGGCUGGUCCAAGAGUUAGAGUACGGAGCCAUUCUUCUAUUGGUUGGAAGGCAAAGAAGUGAACCUUGAGAAAUGCCAUAGGAGUAAACUUCAGAGCCAGUGCAACAAGUACCUUGGACCAAAAGAAAGGCAAGAGUACGAAGUUGUGGUGGAGAGUGGAGAAUUUGUGUACAAGAAAAAUGGAGCUUUUGUUCAAAUUUUGAAUGAUUCGAAGUGGAUUGUUGUCCUCAGCACCACAAAAAGCACUCUAUACUGGACAGAAUGAACAUUUAAGCACUCCAGUUUCCUAGCUGGUGGAGCCAUGACAUCUGCAGGAAGAUUGGCUGUCAAAGAAGGAAUCCUCAAGGUUAUAUGGCUGUACAGUGGUCACUACAUUCCAACUGAAGAGAAUUGCGGAGUUCAUCCGCUACCUUGUAGAGAAUGGUGUCGACCUCACUAAUGUCAAGAUGUAUGCAGAAAUUGAUCAAGUCGCUCCCCCUGCUGUGGCUGUUGCCGAUUUCCUGCCGCUGGUUCCUACCACUGCCAAGGGUGCUGUUGAUGAGGCCCCAGGAAGUGAUGGUGAAGAUGUUGACCAUGGCCUGGUGAUGGCUGUAGGUGGUGCACAAGAUAAUGAGGACAACGAUGACGAUGGUGAUGAAGAUCUAUAUGAAGGAAAAAGCAAUGGCCAGGCUCUUCCCACCGCUACCGCUGGGACCGUUCGAUGUAGAGGUGUUUGUUUUGCGGCAGCAAGAAGAUCAGCAAUUCGAUCAUCAGCUAGCUUCUAAGCCAUGCUGUAGGGUAUGCUGGUGGAGUCACCGUGCGCUUGUGGAGUACAUCCACACCAACCUUAGAUUCAGCCAUCUUGCGGUUGCGGCUCACGGUAUUUGUCUAGACCCUUGCAAGUGAAUGUGUUGCCUUUUCCAGGCCUUGACAGUUAAAAUGUAUCCCUAUGAUUGUUUAGUCAUCUAGAGUCUAUAAACUAUUACCACUGCUUAGGUUAUGCAGUGAACUUUAAUAUAACUUGUGUGUGAAGCUUAAUCUGUUAUGCAGUGAACUUUAAUAUAACUUGUGUGUGAAGCUUAAUCUCUA